CCUACGGGGCGCACCAGUGGGGAAUAUUGGACAAUGGGCGAAAGCCUGAUCCAGCAAUGCCGCGUGUGUGAAGAAGGUCUUCGGAUUGUAAAGCACUUUCGACGGGGACGAUGAUGACGGUACCCGUAGAAGAAGCCCCGGCUAACUUCGUGCCAGCAGCCGCGGUAAUACGAAGGGGGCUAGCGUUGCUCGGAAUGACUGGGCGUAAAGGGCGCGUAGGCGGUUUAUGCAGUCAGAUGUGGAAUCCCCGGGCUUAACCUGGGGACUGCAUUUGAGACGCAUAGACUAGAGGUCGAGAGAGGGUUGUGGAAUUCCCAGUGUAGAGGUGAAAUUCGUAGAUAUUGGGAGGAACACCGGUGGCGAAGGCGGCAACCUGGCUCGAUACUAACGCUGAGGCGCGAAAGCGUGGGGAGCAAACAGGAUUAGAUACCCGCGUAGUC
rnacentral:rRNA from 1 species